rnacentral:rRNA from 1 species
UACGAAGGGGGCUAGCGUUGUUCGGAUUUACUGGGCGUAAAGCGCGCGUAGGCGGAUCGUUAAGUCGGGGGUGAAAUCCUGGAGCUCAACUCCAGAACUGCCUUCGAUACUGGCGAUCUCGAGUCCGGAAGAGGUGAGUGGAACUCCUAGUGUAGAGGUGGAAUUCGUAGAUAUUAGGAAGAACACCAGUGGCGAAGGCGACUCACUGGUCCGGUACUGACGCUGAGGUGCGAAAGCGUGGGGAGCAAACAGGG